GCUAGUCAAAUAAAGACAGUGUUAGGAUUAUUUGGAAUGAUACAGAGAAGAUUGGCGUGGACCCUAAGAAAGAAUGACAUGAAAAUUCGUCAAGCAUUCCAUACUUUU